AGCAGUAGCCGCGGGAACACGUAGGGUGCAAGCGUUAAUCGGAAUUACUGGGCGUAAAGCGUGCGCAGGCGGUUUGUUAAGACAGAUGUGAAAUCCCCGGGCUUAACCUGGGAACUGCAUUUGUGACUGGCAAGCUAGAGUCUGGCAGAGGGGGGUGGAAUUCCGCGUGUAGCAGUGAAAUGCGUAGAUAUGCGGAGGAACACCGAUGGCGAAGGCAGCCCCCUGGGCCAACACUGACGCUCAUGCACGAAAGCGUGGGGAGCAAACAGGAUUAGAUACCCCUGUAGUCCCUGUCUCUUAUAC
rnacentral:rRNA from 1 species